GCGCUUCGGCAGCACAUAUACUAAAUUGGUCCGACACAGAGAAGAUUAGCUUGGCUCCUGCCCAAGGAUGACAAGCAAAUUCGUGAAGCAUUUCAUAAAAAA
rnacentral:snRNA from 1 species